CUUAAAGGAAUUGACGGAAGGGGCACCACCAGGAGUGGAGCCUGCGGCUUAAUUUGAUUCAAACACGGGGGAAACUUACCAGGGCAAGACCUUAGAAGGAUUGACAGAUUGAUAGCUUUUUCUUGAUUUGAGGGAUGGUGGUGCAUGGCCGUUCUUAGUUCGUGGAGUGAUUUGUCUGGUUAAUUCCCUUAACGAACGAGACCUUAACCUGCUAACCUAGACGCGGUGAUCCUUUUCGCCGUUGUGCUUCUUAGAGGGACUAUGCGUCAAAAAAUGCAUGGAAGUUUGAGGCAAUAACAGGUCAGUGAUGCCCUUAGACGUCCUGGGCCGCACGUGUGCUACACUGGUGCGUUCAGCAAGUUCUAACCUAACCCGAUAGGGGCUGGGUAAUCUUCAUAAUACGCACCGUGCUUGGGAUUGAUCUUUGCAAUUAUGGAUCAUGAACGAGGAAUUCCUUAGUAAGUGCAAGUCAUCAUCUUGUACUGAUUACGUCCCUGCCCUUUGUACACACCGCCCG
rnacentral:rRNA from 1 species